GGCACAAACUUGAAGUAGGGUAGAUUAGUAUGGUCAGCUGACCCUACUCGACUAUUUGCUUCAAGUUUGGGCCC
rfam:Haemonchus contortus, ISE/inbred ISE, WGS project CAVP01000000 data, contig: Hcontortus_33057